GAAUAUGAGGUGGAUGUCUAGGUAUAUAAAACAAGGACGUAGCGUAUUUACGAAAAGCCAUAAUUAGAAACGCAAUUAACUUAUAACUUAUGGGUCUCCUUUGGUAAACCGUACGUUUUUAGUACUUAUUAACUAAAUUAAUUGAAACAUCUUAUUAGUUUAAGGAAAAAAAAUCAAACGAGAUUUUAUGAGUAGCGGCGAGCGAAAGUGAACAAGGGUAAAGGUAUACUUUCACUACAAAAUAAUUUGAAAAAAUUAGCCUUAGAAGGUUAAAGCCCUGUAUUUAAGACAAUGUAUAUCUUUUUAGUAAAAAAGAACUCGUGAAAUUCUUUUUGAAUAAUGGAGGACCUUACUUCAAACCCUAAAUAUCUUUAUAUAACCGAUAGCGAAAUAGUACUGUAAAGGAACGAUGAAAAGAAUUCUUAAAUGGAAGUGAAAAGAUUCUAAAACCUGAUAUUUACAACCAACCGAAGUAUUUUUUAUAUGACGGUUUGCCUUUUGUAUCAUGCAUUAGCGACUUUAAAAUUAUAGCAAGCUUAAAUCACUAGAUGGAAGCCUAGUUAACGCAAGCUUUAAAAAGCUUAACAAGUUAUAAUUUUAAGACCCGAAUCCAAGUGAUCUAAUUAUAAACAAGCUAAAUACAUAAUAAUUUAUGUGGGAAGGUUUAACUCGUUACUGUUGCAAAAGUUUGAGAUGAUUUAUUAUUAGGGGUGAAAGGCCAAUCAAACUUGGUGAUAGCUGGUUUUCCACGAAAUAUAUUUAGGUAUAGCGUAAUUUUUUUAAGGCAAAGGGUAAAGCUCUUUUUAAACUAGGGGGGUUAAUAGCCUUACUGAAUUUAGAUAAACUCUGAAUAUUUGCUUAUUUUAAAAUUGCAGUCAGACUUUGAGUGCUAAGAUUCAUAGUCAAGAGGGAAACAGCCCAGAUUAUUAACUAAGGUCCAAAAAUGAUUGCUAAGUGAUAAAGAUAGUGAUUAAACCAAGAUAACUAGAAGGUAAGCUUGGAAGCAGCUAUCCUUUAAAAAAUGCGUAAUAGCAUACUAGUUGAAAACCUUUGUUUAAGUUUAAUUGCAUCGAAAAUUUAUAGGGCUUAUGCUUUCUACCGAAGUUAUAAACUUUUUAAAGUGAUAGUGGAACGUUUUUUAAGCUGAUAAAUUUAGAUUGAAAAAUCUAAAGAAAGUAUAAAAAGUGAGAAUGCUAAUAUGAGUAACGUUAUACAAUGUAAAAACCAUUGUCGCUUAACAAUUCAAGGUUUUCUACGUAAUGUUAAUCAGCGUAGAUUUAGUCGGUGUCUAAGAAUAAAUAACGAUAGUUAUGUUCGAUGAUUUAUUAUCAUAUUAAAAAGAAAGACGCAAUGUUUUUUGUAUGAUUAAUAAAUGGUUUUUUUUUAUGCAAAAAACAUUGCCAAGAAAUAUUUCUUUUAUUAUUUACCGUACUUAACCAACAAAGGAGAAUAAGUAUUACAAUACUAAAGCGUUUGAAUUAAUCAUUCUUAAGGAACUCGGCAAAAAGAUUCUGUAACUUCGGGAUAAAGAAUGCCUUUAAAAAGGCUAUAUAAAUAAAGGAUAGCGACUAGUUAUUAAAACUACAAGACUUUGCUAAAUUGUAAAAUGAUGUAUAAGGUCUGAUGUCUGCCCAGUGCUAAAAAGUCACACAAGAUAGUUAAAAGCUAUUAAGUUAAGCUUUAGUAAACGGCGGUUGUAACUCUAACAAUCCUAAGGUAGCGAAAUUCCUAGUCAAUUAAUUGUUGACCUGCAUGAAAGACAUAACGACUUUCCUACUGUCUCAAGAAUGAAUUCAGUGAAAUUAGAUUUUGCGUGAAGAUACGCAAUUACGAUAGUAAGACGGAAAGACCCCAUAAACCUUAACUAUAAUCUUAAACUGUUUUUACUUAUAAUUUGCGUAGUAAUAAGUGGUAAUCGCUAAUAUGUCUUAGUGUCAGCUAAUUACAGAGAUAACAAUGAAAGACCACUCUGAUUAUAAUGUAUAACUAAAUUAAAUAUUAAUGACAAUUUAAGAUGGUUAGUUUGACUGGGGCGGUAGUCUCCAAAAUGGUAACGGAGACCUACAAAGGUAAGUUCAAGCUUGAUUAAAACAAGCUUUCGAGUAUAAUGGCAUAUACUUGCUUGACUGUAAGACAAACAAGUCGAACAGAGACGAAAGUCGGUCAUAGUGAUCCUAUAAUUUUGAAUGGAUAAGUUAUAGCUUAAGGAAUAAAAGGUACUUUGGGGAUAACAGGCUGAUAAUUCUCAAGAGCUCUUAUCGACAGAAUUGUUUGGCACCUCGAUGUCGACUCUUCAUAUCCUGGGGCUGAAAAAGGUCCCAAUGGUUUGGCUGUUCGCCAAUUAAAAUGGAACGUGAGUUGGGUUUAGAACGUUGUAAAACAGUUUGGUCCCUAUCUGCUAUCGUUGUAUAAUAAUUUUAAAGACUUGUUUUUAGUACGAGAGGACCAAAACAAAAUAACCUAUGAUUUGUCGAUUGUUUUACCAAAAGCAAGUUGAGUAGUUACGUUAUUUUUUUAUAACUGCUGAAAGCAUCAAUGCAGGAAGAAAACUUUAAAUCAAAUUAUUUUAAAAUCGUUAUAGUUGAUUACGUAAUAGGUAAUUUGUAAGUUAUGGUAACAUAUAUGCUAAAUUAUACUAAUUUAACUUUAUAUUUAAGUAAAUU
rnacentral:rRNA from 1 species